GACGAACGCUGGCGGCGUGCCUAAUGCAUGCAAGUCGAGCGGAGUCAUAAGAGAUGCUUGCAUCUCUAAUGACUUAGCGGCGAACGGGUGAGUAACACGUGGGUAACCUACCCAUCACAGGGGGAUAACAUUCGGAAACGGAUGCUAAUACCGCAUAGGUUCUUUGACCGCAUGGUCGAAGAAGGAAAAGAGGCCUUAGUGCUUCUGGUGAUGGAUGGACCCGCGGCGUAUUAGCUAGUUGGUGAGGUAAAGGCUCACCAAGGCAUUGAUACGUAGCCGACCUGAGAGGGUAAUCGGCCACAUUGGGACUGAGACACGGCCCAAACUCCUACGGGAGGCAGCAGUAGGGAAUCUUCCGCAAUGGACGAAAGUCUGACGGAGCAACGCCGCGUGAGUGAAGAAGGUUUUCGGAUCGUAAAACUCUGUUGUUAGAGAAGAACAAGUGCUAGAGUAACUGCUAGCAUCGUGACGGUAUCUAACCAGAAAGCCACGGCUAACUACGUGCCAGCAGCCGCGGUAAUACGUAGGUGGCAAGCGUUGUCCGGAUUUAUUGGGCGUAAAGCGGGCGCAGGCGGUUUCUUAAGUCUGAUGUGAAAGCCCACGGCUCAACCGUGGAGGGUCAUUGGAAACUGGGGAACUUGAGUGCAGAAGAGGAGAGUGGAAUUCCAUGUGUAGCGGUGAAAUGCGUAGAUAUAUGGAGGAACACCAGUGGCGAAGGCGACUCUCUGGUCUGUAACUGACGCUGAGGCUCGAAAGCGUGGGUAGCAAACAGG
rnacentral:rRNA from 1 species